CUGCACAGUGGCGCAGUCGGUAGCACUCUUGCCUUGCAGCAAUAAGUUCCCAGGUUUGACUCCUGGCUGGCAGU